rnacentral:snRNA from 1 species
GUCUCUUCGGAGACAUCCGAUAAAAUUGGAACGAUACAGAGAAGAUUAGCAUGGCCCCUGCGCAAGGAUGACAUGCACAAAUCGAGAAAUGGUCCAAAUAUUU